GACGAACGCUGGCGGCGUGCUUAACACAUGCAAGUCGAACGGAAAGGCCCCUUUGGGGGUCCUCGAGUGGCGCACGGGUGCGUAACACGUGAGUAACCUGCCCUUGACUUCGGGAUAACUUCAGGAAACUGGGGCUAAUACCGGAUAGGAAUCCUUGCUUCAUGGUGGGGGUUGGAAAGCUUCGGCGGUUUUGGAUGGACUCGCGGCUUAUCAGCUUGUUGGUGGGGUAGUGGCUUACCAAGGCUUUGACGGGUAGCCGGCCUGAGAGGGCGACCGGCCACAUUGGGACUGAGAUACGGCACAGACUCCUAAGGGAGGCAGAAGUGGGGAAUAUUGAACAAUGGGCGGAAGCCUGAUGGAGCAAGGCCGCGUGCGGGAUGACGGACUUAGGGUUGUAAACCGCUUUCAGCAGGAGCGAAGCUUGUGGUGACGGUACCUGCAGAAGAAGCACCGGCUAACUACGUG
rnacentral:rRNA from 1 species